AAGUCGUAACAAGGUUUCCGUAGGUGAACCUGCGGAAGGAUCAUUACAGAGUUCCUGCCCUCACGGGUAGAAACCCCACCCUUGUGUAUACUAUAUUGUUGCUUUAGCAGGCCGCCUUUGGGCGUCGGCUCACGCUGACCGUGCCUGCUAGAGGACCCUAAACUUUGAAAUACAGUGUCGUCUGAGUACUAUUCAAUAGUUAAAACUUUCAACAACGGAUCUCUUGGUUCUG
rnacentral:misc_RNA from 1 species